UGAGGAACAUGACUUUCGGUGGGGGAUAGCCGGCCCAACGGCCGGGUAAUACCGCGUACGACCAUUUGGGGACAUCCCCGAGUGGUGAAAGCAGCAAUGCGCCGAAAGAGUGCCUCGCGGCCUAUCAGCUAGUUGGUGAGGUAACGGCUCACCAAGGCGACGACGGGUAGCUGGUCUGAGAGGAUGGCCAGCCACAUUGGGACUGAGACACGGCCCAGACCUCCGUACGGGGAGGNAGCG
rnacentral:rRNA from 1 species